rnacentral:rRNA from 1 species
CACGCUGGCGGCAUGCCUUACACAUGCAAGUCGAACGGCAGCACGGGAGCAAUCCUGGUGGCGAGUGGCGAACGGGUGAGUAAUAUAUCGGAACGUGCCCAGUCGUGGGGGAUAACGCAGCGAAAGCUGUGCUAAUACCGCAUACGAUCUCUGGAUGAAAGCGGGGGACUCGUAAGAGCCUCGCGCGAUUGGAGCGGCCGAUAUCAGAUUAGCUAGUUGGUGGGGUAAAGGCCCACCAAGGCGACGAUCUGUAGCUGGUCUGAGAGGACGACCAGCCACACUGGAACUGAGACACGGUCCAGACUCCUACGGGAGGCAGCAGUGGGGAAUUUUGGACAAUGGGCGCACGCCUGAUCCAGCAAUGCCGCGUGCAGGAUGAAGGCCUUCGGGUUGUAAACUGCUUUUGUACGGAACGAAAAGGUCUGCCUUAAUACGGUGGGCCCAUGACGGUACCGUAAGAAUAAGCACCGGCUAACUACGUGCCAGCAGCCGCGGUAAUACGUAGGGUGCGAGCGUUAAUCGGAAUUACUGGGCGUAAAGCGUGCGCAGGCGGUUAUAUAAGACAGAUGUGAAAUCCCCGGGCUCAACCUGCGACCUGCAUUUGUGACUGUAUAGCUAGAGUACGGU